rnacentral:rRNA from 1 species
GACGAACGCUGGCGGCGUGCUUAACACAUGCAAGUCGAGCGGAGCGGCGAACGGGUGAGUAACGCGUGAGUAACUGCCCCCCUCUCUGGGAUAACAGUUGGAAACUGCUGCUAAUACCGGAUAGUGGGGGAUGACUCGGGUCCUAUCAGCUUGUUGGUGGGGUAGUGGCCUAGCAAGGCGACGACGGGUAGCCGGCCUGAGAGGGCGACCGGGCACAGUGGGCUGGGAUACCGCCCAAACUGCUACGGGAGGCAGCAGUGGGGAAUAGUGCACAAUGGGGGAAGCCCGGAUGCAGCAACGCCGCGUGCGAGAUGACGGCCUUCGGGUUGUAAACCGCUUUCAGCCAUGACGCGGUAGUGGCAGAAGAAGCACCGGCUAACUACGUGCCAGCAGCCGCGGUAAUUC